rnacentral:rRNA from 1 species
AACGAACGCUGGCGGCGUGCCUAAUACAUGCAAGUCGAACGCAAAACUUUCACCGAAUGCUUGCAUUCACGAAAGUUUUGAGUGGCGAACGGGUGAGUAACACGUGGGUAACCUGCCCAGAAGAGGGGGAUAACACUUGGAAACAGGUGCUAAUACCGCAUAAUAACAAAAACCGCAUGGUUUUUGUUUGAAAGAUGGUUUUGCUAUCACUUCUGGAUGGACCCGCGGCGUAUUAGCUAGUUGGUAAGGUAAAGGCUUACCAAGGCAAUGAUACGUAGACGAACUGAGAGGUUGAUCGGCCACAUUGGGACUGAGACACGGCCCAAACUCCUACGGGAGGCAGCCGUAGGGAACCUUCCACAAUGGACGAAAGUCUGAUGGAGCAACGCCGCGUGAGUGAAGAAGGUUUUCGGAUCGUAAAACUCUGUUGUUAGAGAAGAACGUGUGUGAGAGUAACUGCUCAUGCAGUGACGGUAUCUAACCAGAAAGCCACGGCUAACUACGUGCCAGCAGCCGCAGUAA